rnacentral:misc_RNA from 1 species
CCUCCUUUCUAAGGAAAUCGAAAAAUAUUAAAUCAAUUAUUUUCGAUUUAAAAAAGACCGGUAAUGUGACCGUCCUCAUUUCUCUUCUUUUAAUGUCUCUGAGUAAAAAUAAUGUAAGGGGCCGGUAGCUCAGGUGGUUAGAGCGCACCCCUGAUAAGGGUGAGGUCGGAAGUUCGAAUCUUCCUCGGCCCACCAAUAUUAUGGGGGAUUAGCUCAGCUGGGAGAGCGCCUGAUUUGCAUUCAGGAGGUCAGCGGUUCGAUCCCGCUAUCCUCCACCAAAAUUUGAGACAUUUAGCUUUUUUAAAUUGUGAAUAAUUUUAUUAUCAAUAUCUAUAUCUGAUUGUUUUCAUAUAUUUUUUUGAAAACAAUCAAAACAAAAAUUUGAAUUUUACACAGAAAGUUUUUUUCUGUGCAUAAAUCAAGCGUUUAAGGGCGAUUGGCGGAUGCCUUGGCACUGUAAGACGAUAAGGACGUGGUAUACUGCGAUAAGUUUCGGGGGAGUUGUAUGCAAGCUUUGAUCCGAAA